UGCACAGGUGGUUUGUCAAGUCGAUUGUUAAAUCCCAGGGCUCAACCCUGGUCCGCAGUCGAAACUGACAGACUAGAAUAUCGGUGGGAGUAGUAGAAGUCGAUGUGUAGCGGUGGAAUGCAUAAAUAUAUCGAGGAAUACCAAUGGCGAAGGCAGCUACUUGAACGAUUAUUGACACUUAAGCACGAAAGCGUGGGGAGCAAAUA
rnacentral:rRNA from 1 species